AUCCCAUGUUGUGGACAUUUCCUCAACAACUCCUUGUACCUUUCCCAAGUAUCAUACAAGGUCUCGGAUUCCAUCUGUCUAAAGGAAGAAAUGUCGCUUCUCAACUU